GUUUCCGUAGUGAAGGAUUUCGCGACAGUUUCGUUGCCGCAGUUCGAUGGGAAUGGCGUGCGUGCGAAACUCCCCGGCAAAU
rnacentral:tRNA from 1 species